rnacentral:lncRNA from 1 species
CAGUGCCACCCGAGAUGUUGGCGGCCACUUUGGCUGAGCUGGACGGAUGCUUGCAGCUGCUCGAGGACAAGUUCCUGCGGGACCAGGCCUUCCUUACUGGGCCCCGUAUCUCUGUGGCUGGCUUGGUGGCAAUCACGGAAGCCCAUCAGUGCUGGCUGCUGAGUCUUUGAAAGCGGACCCACGGUGGCAGCAUGGUGCCCAACACGUGGAGGCUGCAGUGCGGGAGGACUUCUUCCAGGAGGCCCUCCCAGCUG